rnacentral:rRNA from 1 species
UGCAAGUCGAGGGGUAGAAUGUCUUCGGAUAUUUGAGACCGGCGCACGGGUGCGUAACGCGUAUGCAACCUACCUCUUACUGGGGAAUAGCCCGGAGAAAUUCGGAUUAAUGCCCCAUAUGCUCGUACGACCUCAUGGUCGAGCGAGGAAAGUUCCGGCGGUAAGAGAUGGGCAUGCGUCCUAUUAGCUAGUUGGUGAGGUAAUGGCUCACCAAGGCGACGAUAGGUAGGGGGCCUGAGAGGGUGAUCCCCCACACUGGUACUGAGACACGGACCAGACUCCUACGGGAGGCAGCAGUGAGGAAUAUUGGGCAAUGGAGGAAACUCUGACCCAGCCAUGCCGCGUGCAGGAAGACUGCCCUAUGGGUUGUAAACUGCUUUUAUACAGGAAGAAUAAGCCUUACGUGUAAGGUGAUGACGGUACUGUAAGAAUAAGGACCGGCUAACUCCGUGCCAGCAGCCGCGGUAAUACGGAGGGUCCGAGCGUUAUCCGGAAUUAUUGGGUUUAAAGGGUCCGUAGGCGGAUGAUUAAGUCAGGGGUGAAAGUUUGCAGCUCAACUGUAAAAUUGCCUUUGAUACUGGUUAUCUUGAGUUGUAUUGAAGUAGGCGGAAUAUGUAGUGUAGCGGUGAAAUGCAUAGAUAUUACAUAGAACACCAAUUGCGAAGGCAGCUUACUAAGUACUAACUGACGCUGAUGGACGAAAGCGUGGGUAGCGAACAGGAUUAGAUACCCUGGUAGAAGGGC